rnacentral:rRNA from 1 species
CACGUAGGGGGCGAGCGUUGUCCGGAUUUAUUGGGCGUAAAGAGCUCGUAGGCGGCUCAGUAAGUCGGGUGUGAAAACUCCAGGCUCAACCUGGAGACGCCACCUGAUACUGCUGUGGCUAGAGUCCGGUAGGGGAGCAUGGAAUUCCUGGUGUAGCGGUGAAAUGCGCAGAUAUCAGGAAGAACACCCGUGGCUAAGGCGGCUCUCUAGUACGGUACUGACGCUGAGACGCGAAAGCGUGGGGAGCGAACAGG